AGUGAACGCUGGCGGUAGGCCUAACACAUGCAAGUCGAACGGCAGCACAGGAGAGCUUGCUCUCUGGGUGGCGAGUGGCGGACGGGUGAGGAAUACAUCGGAAUCUACUCUGUCGUGGGGGAUAACGUAGGGAAACUUACGCUAAUACCGCAUACGACCUACGGGUGAAAGCAGGGGACCUUCGGGCCUUGCGCGAUUGAAUGAGCCGAUGUCGGAUUAGCUAGUUGGCGGGGUAAAGGCCCACCAAGGCGACGAUCCGUAGCUGGUCUGAGAGGAUGAUCAGCCACACUGGAACUGAGACACGGUCCAGACUCCUACGGGAGGCAGCAGUGGGGAAUAUUGGACGAUGGGCGCAAGCCUGAUCCAGCCAUACCGCGUGGGUGAAGAAGGCCUUCGGGUUGUAAAGCCCUUUUGUUGGGAAAGAAAUCCAGCUGGCUAAUACCCGGUUGGGAUGACGGUACCCAAAGAAUAAGCACCGGCUAACUUCGUGCCAACAGCCGCGGUAA
rnacentral:rRNA from 1 species